AACGCGAAGAACCUUACCAGCCCUUGACAUGGUCGGACGGUUACCAGAGAUGGCUUUCUUCACUUCGGGUGGCUGGAACACAGGUGCUGCAUGGCUGUCGUCAGCUCGUGUCGUGAGAUGUUGGGUUAAGUCCCGCAACGAGCGCAACCCUCGCCCUUAGUUGCCAUCAUUCAGUUGGGCACUCUAAGGGGACUGCCGGUGAUAAGCCGGAGGAAGGUGGGGAUGACGUCAAGUCAUCAUGCCCCUUACAUCCUGGGCUACACACGUACUACAAUGCUACGGACAAAGGGCAGCGAACUCGCGAGGGCAAGCAAAUCCCAUAAACCGUGGCUCAGUUCAGAUCGUAGGCUGCAACUCGCCUACGUGAAGGAGGAAUCGCUAGUAAUCGCAGGUCAGCAUACUGCGGUGAAUACGUUCCCGGGUCUUGUACACACCG
rnacentral:rRNA from 1 species